CCACCACCUGCCUAAUGACUGUUAGUUACCCCUAUACAAAGUUGACCCUGUGCUGAUCACCCAGCGUCAUAGACUUUCCAUUUUCAUCCGUACCAGCUGACUUCAGUGUCCAGGACAAAAAGCUAUUGCAGAAGGUUGUGUUGCCAUCUAUUUCUUGGUGUGAAAAGUGCUAGCUGUAAAUCAGUGGUGGUGGGAUUUGUUGAGGAGAAAGAGAAGGGAAUGAACUUUCUCACUUUACUUUGUUUUCCUCACACAGAAUCCAAACUCGUUUCUGGGAUUAAGAAAGUGGAGACUUAGCAUCUUGUGGGCUGUCAAGGAGGAAAAGAUGGAAGAAAACGGCCUGGCAACUAGCAUCCUUGCUAAGGCACAAAAGUUGUGAUGUCUGCUUGCAAGUUCAUUUGUAAGUACUCAAUUUAGUGACAUGUCUUGUAAUGAUGUACAUGGAGGAGGGCUUUUGGAUGAUGCACGGGUUGGUCUCGUUCCUGGAUGGGAAACUUCCCCUCUGUGCUGCUUCAGUGUCUGGAAUAAAUGAGCACCCUCCUAGUGAUGCCAUCAGACAAUGGGAGCACCAGCCAGACCUGGAAAUGUGCAGGUUCUUGGGAGCUGUAGGAGUGUGAGAUUGUGUAAUUUGUUGGCAAAAGUGUGUGUAUCUAUUUGCAAUCUAUUGUCUCCUGCUAACAGGUUUAGGCGCAGAUCAGUAAUGGUAUUUAAUCACCUGCCUCUUCGUAAUGACAUUCAUAGGUAGACAUUUAACUAUAUUUUGUCCUCAACUAAGCUAGGGCCAUCGUUUUUCUUUUGUCACUGGCAGAGACCGUGCAUAAAGAUGUGUAAUAACUUUUAAGCAGGUGCCAGUUCCUGGUGAUGCUGAGACCUUCAUUUUUCAGCUCAGUCACCAUCUCUGUGCUAAAGCUGGUGAUCUUGUGUCCGAAUCUAACCCAGCCUGAGGUUCAGAGAAAUGGCACAGUCAUUGCACUGUCAACAAAUGCUCUCAAACAGCAGCAAUGACAGUCCCCUACAGCAAUUUCCUUCUGACACUGCCUGUGACGAUGACAAUGACUCAUAAAAGCUAGAAGCCGUCAGAUUCUUUGGCCGGGUGAGGUGUCCUGCUGGUGCUCUGAGGGUCUCGCACUUGGGUGAGACUUUGUGUCCCAUCAACCCAAAGGAUGAGUGAGCGAGUGGUGUCUGGAUUAGGCUGAGGAAAAGAGGCAGGGCAAAAACCAAGACCAGAACUGUUGCUAAAGCAGUGGGAUGAGUUCUGGAUUUUGCAAGCAAAACGCAUGUUCCUCUCUCCAUAGUUUCUGCAGGGAAAUUUUCUUUUUUAAUUUUAUUUUCAUUUUAUGGUAUUUCUGGAGACAGCAGUGCAGGAAUAUACCGUCUUGUCACUGAAGAGAGGGUGUCAGGCUACCAUGUCCUUUCCCCAGUGUUCUACCAGGACAGAACUGGGCAGAUUCCCCGGUGAUGAGACAGUACCACCAGGCACACGUGUCUGUUGGGUGAUUUAAGUUCUCAGUAGCUCUGCUGCACCAUGACUAAUGGGUGAGGCGAAGAGAAAGGUGUGAGAGGGGCUGCACAAAUGCUAAGUGAAGGAGGGCCUCCUUGCCAAAAAUGUGCAGCCUGCUGAGACAGGGACAGGGCAGGCAGCGAGGAGCAGCAUAACCCAGUCUUGGACCCUUCCCGAUGAUGCUCUUCAAGGAGGUCCAUCAACCCACGAUGGAUGAUAGUCUCACCUGUAGACGUUUCUCCAUAUGACUGAAUGUGAAGCACAAGCAGAACAUCCCCCAAGACAAUUCCUUGAGGCAGCUGGUGGCAUCAGCCAAUCUCUCCACGGCGUUUGUCACAAAUCAAGUUAUUACAGGCCGCAUCCCGCGUGACUGCGGCGUUACUCACCGUGUUUACUUUCCAUCCAACUCACCUCUUCUGCUGCGCAGAACCAGUCGUGCCAGCUACCAGAUGCCAUCUAAACGGUCUGGAAUGGACUUCUCAUGUGCGAGAUACGUUAGGUCAUGUAAGUCCUUCCCAAGGGGUAUAAUUAGGGAUCGCCCCACCCACCUCACACACGUUGAGCUUGAUGAGGCUUGUUGGGCUGCGAACCCCCCCAAUAGCAGAAGAAAAGAGCUUGCAGUGAAGGCUGCCCCGAGGGCUGGUGGUUCCAUCUCUGGGGCACAUCACCCUCUGCCAAACCCAUGGCCUGGAGGUGCUGACCCAAGGGUCUGCACACAACCGUGGUGGCAUCCAACUGGGGGAUGCUCCUCACUCACAACCCGGUCCCGUUUGCUCGCUGCUCACACGUUACAGCCCUCAUGGGCUGGGGGGAAAUACCCUUCUUUUUGCACAAUUAGCUUGGCCAUGAAUACUUUCUGUUAAAAAACAAUCAGGCUCUGCAAACUGAAGAUAUUUUGCUUUUUCCAUUGCUGUGGCUUCCUCCCAUUUUCCAGUAGCAUAAAUAGAAAUGGAAUAUAUAUAGUUUUUUUAAAUUCAUAUUCUUAUUUUGUGAAAAGACCCCCCCCCAAAAAAAUAAUUGCAGAGGCAAAUGCAUCUGGCAAACCCUUCACCUAUUAAAAAAGAAUAAAUCACCCAACUUGGCAGGACAUUUCCAAGACAGUAUGAGAAAAAUAUAAGAUCAGUUCUAUCUGAAAAGGAAUUACCAUCUUUAAUUGACAAGUGGCAGAAAGGAAAUUGUUAUUCUUAUUUAAACACGUCCCAAACCUGCAGCUUAUAAACUUCCUGUUGAUCUCAGGCUUGUGGUCCCUGAUUGUUUUUGUUUUGCAUUUUCAAAUCUGAUUUUUUUGUUUCCUUUUUAUUCUCAUGCCUGAUUCAUUUUCUCUCUCGUUUAGGAGGUCAGCUUUUCAAAACUGAUCUUUCGUCAUCUUUCAUCCAGAGUUAGCAUCCUCACAUCAAUUUCAGUGCAGGGAAGCUCCUGUCUCUGAGCUGUUUGUGCAUCUUUCUCUGAAGUCCCUGGUCCAGGCCACACAAGCACCUGGGCUGAUGGAAGCUGGAAUUGCCCAUGUUUCUACGUCAAACAUCUCAGAAGAACUCAGGUCCUCCAGAAAGGAAGCCCACAGCCUUCAGAAGGUAUGAAACAGAGCAGGAUGUUAAAUGUACAACCUGCGUCAGCAAGGAGCUUGCUCUUAAUCAACCAUCCACCUGAGAUACCUGGGGGCAAGGAAGGAGGAACGUGUUGGGACAGAGCGAAGCCACCGCCGAGGAGAGCGGCCACACAACCUGUGAGCCUUCGGAAGCCACUUGUUAAACGUCUCCCGUUUGAUCCCCAGGGAACAGUGUGCCAGAAACGGGAUGAAAAUGUUACUUCCAAGAAAGUGUCCCCCCCCACCACCACCUCGCCACCUCACCCCAGCAGGAACUGAGCAUCCUUUUGCUACCCGAGAGAUUAGUCAGGUUCGUGUGUGACUCGGUGCUCGGGGGGACUGCACUGAGCCAGAAUGAACGCGCUUGUGAAUUGAGAAGGGUGUCACGAAGGGUGCAAGACUGAUGAAAAAUAGAUGAGCUGGUGUAAAUGUGCUCAGGAGCUGAAUGACAACGUGUUAGCCUUGGCGCUGCCGAAUUCAGGCAGGGCCUGUCAAUAGCAUUAGAGAUGCUGCACCAGAUUUUUCCAAGGCUGUUUGCAAAUCGACCUAAUGUUCCUGUUGACACAAACCCUUGAAAGCGCAGCUCAAAGCAGCUUUGCUGAACCCUCCUGAUUUGCUCACAGAUUGCCGUCAGAUGUGAGCAGGAGAGAAAGUACUUGCCUGGGCAUCCAGGAGAGGGGAAAAUAGGGAAUUAACUGUGCACACAGAUGUGUGAUAUUACCUUCCAGAAACGUAGAGCAGGGAAGGAACUUACCAGCAUCAGGAGGAGUUUCCUCAUUGUUCAGUGAACUGUGUUUCUUGGUUUGGAGGGAAAUCUGGGUACGUGCAUCCAACACGUUGACCAGUCUUCAGCGUGGACUGCAGGGCUUGGAAAAAUCUCCAUCUUUGACAAAUUAAGACCCUAGUAUGAAAAGAAACACCACAAAACAACCCAAAUCAGAGUGAUCUCAAACUGUUUUUUGUUAGAACUCCAGUUGAACGAUUUGAUGGUCUUUACUGUUACCAGCUUAUCACAUUAAUAGUUGCUUUUCUCUCACCCUGGUGAGACUUUGUACCAGAGACACCAUCAGUUGCUCACUCGUGGGAUGGCAACGUGCAGAGCAAACAAUGAGCCAAGGCUGUUUAGAAAUCCUUCAACACUUCAGGCAGCGGAGAAGAGCCCAAGUUUCCACGUAAAGGGCUGAACGGACAAGAAUGACGUGAAACAUAUGGAAAAUAUGGAAAAUGUGGAAUAAGUAAUAAAAUUAUAAAUAAAACAAAUACAAUAAAUUGGGAAUGCAGUUUUACUCAUAAUGAUUUGUGUUCCUAGUAACCCAAGACUCCCUUACCUUUGGA